CACAAAGUGAUCACAAUAGAAAAGAUUUCACAUGAAUUUGGAUAGAAGGUGUCUGAAUAUCUACCUGCAUGGGCUCUAUGGAUGAAGGCAAUGUGCGCACUCACAAGAACAAUGUCAUAUGUGAAUACAAGCAACAAUCACACAGAAACCUCCCUCAUCAGCAACGUAACAAGUCCUUCAAAUAUAAUAAAUGAUCUUGAUAAUACAUUCUCAACAGAUCCUGAAGUAGAUGGUGUCAAAUUUAAUGGGAUGUUCUACAUUUUAAUCGGUAUUUCUGGGUUUACUGUUACCAUUGUCCUUUUACUGGUCAUUCUGUGGACAAUGAAGUAUCGCACUUUGAUUCACACCAUUCGAGAGCUGCAGGGUUUUGAGUGUCUAUUGGGCAGAGCUCCUCCAUCCAACCCCCCAGCUCUAAGUCCCCUAACCUUGAGGAAGUGUCUAGUGCGUGAGACUGGAAGCCCACUAGAGCUUGUCUCUGUCACUCUGGGACAGGAGUAUCAGAACACUAGCUCGCCCACUCCCCUGCUCAGGCAGACAACCAAGUCAGCUUCUAGGUCUCUCUGGAGACCACAGCAAACGGAUUCCUGCUUCAACACAUCAGGGCUGGGCAUGCAGCAACUCAUCAAAGCAGGGAGGGAAGGGGUGUACUACAAGGCUAAGAUGACGCGUGGCACCUGCAAGGGUCACUCCAUUGUCACCUGCAAGAUGACCAAAGAGGGGGUUACCCACAGGAGGGUAGCCAGAGAGGUGAACAUCAUGAGGAAGCUGGGUACCCACAAGAACGUGCUGCAGCUGCUAGACUGGAACAUCACACAGGCUCCUUACAUGCUGAUCCUGGAGUCGGUGAGCAGUGGGACCCUGCGCAGUUUCCUGCAAGUGAAUCAACACCAACUGAGCAGGGACAGUGAUCUGCAAAAGCACUUCACCACAGCAGCAUAUCACAUUGCCCAUGCAAUGAGACACCUGCGCUCUAAAAUGGUGGUGCACUGUGACCUAGCCCUGAGGAACAUCAUGGUUAACCAUUUCCCCAGAGAGGUGAAGCUGGCGGAGUUUGGACUGGCCCAAGACCUGACUCUUUUGAGCAGCCGUCGCAGCAGCCACAAAGGAGACCACUUGCGAAAAGUGCCCCUGCGUUGGUAUCCUCCAGAGUACUUCAGAAACAACUACUACAGCUUCAAAGGGGAUGUCUGGGCAUUUGGCAUUGUGCUGUGGGAGAUGCAAACAUUUGGGACCUUACCAUAUCCCAACCUGGAGACUUUAGAGUUGGUGGGGCGCUACAUCUGCUCUGGACACAGGAACUCAGAACCAGAGACAUGUAGGCCAGAGAUACUGGAGAUGAUGAAAGACUGCUGGCUGGAGCCCAACACCCAAAGGCCCUCCUUCAAUGACAUAGUCAGUGUCCUGGAGAACAUCCUGGAGGAUGAUGCAGAUUACAUCAAAGUGAACAACAGACUAGCCAAUGUUGGAUAUGGCGAUUAAGAUCAAAUCUGCUUUACUCUCCUUCAUGACGACUGAAUAUGUGCAGAGAGGAAGAGUUGGUGCCAUGCAGGGCUACGGGCCAGAAGGUUGAGGAUUCGCUGACAACCACAGAAGAGCUCGCUCUCCCUGCCUGUUUCGUUACUUCAAGAUCAAAGCCGGUUGCAGAAAUUGAUCAGCUAGGGGGAAUCAGAUUUUCAACAUUUUGAUGCCAUAUUUUAUAAUAUAAAAUACGCUGCUCAAAAAAAUGAAGGGAACACUAAAAUAACACAUCCUAGAUCUGAAUGAAUGAAAUAUUCUUAUUAAAUACUUUUUUCUGUACAUAGUUGAAUGUGCUGACAACAAAUUCACACAAAAAAUAUCAAUGAAAAUCAAAUUUAUCAACCCAUGGAGGUCUGGAUUUGGAGUCACACUCAACAUUAAAGUGGAAAACCACACUACAGGCUGAUCCAAAUUUGAUGUAAUGUCCUUAAAACAAGUCAAAAUGAGGCUCAGUAGUGUGUGUGGCCUACACGUGCCUGUAUGACCUCCCUACAAUGCCUGGGCAUGCUCCUGAUGAGGUGGCGGAUGGUCUCCUGAGGGAUCUCCUCCCAGACCUGGACUAAAGCAUCUGCCAAUUCCUGGACAGUCUGUGGUAGUCUGUGGUGCAACGUGGCGUUGGUGGAUGGAGCGAGACAUGAUGUCCCAAAUGUGCUCAAUUGGAUUCAGGUCUGGGGAACAGGCGGGCCAGUCCAUAGCAUCAAUGCCUUACUCUUGCAGGAACUGCUGACACACUCCAGCCACAUGAGGUCUAGCAUUGUCUUGCAUUAGGAGGAACCCAGGGCCAACCGCACCAGCAUAUGGUCUCACAAGGGGUCUGAGGAUCUCAUCUCGGUACCUAAUGGCAGUCAGGCUACCUUUGGCGAGCACAUGGAGGGCUGUGCGGCCCCCCAAAGAAAUGCCACCCCACACCAUGACUGACCCAACGCCAAACCGGUCAUGCUGGAGGAUGUUGCAGGCAGCAGAACGUUCUCCACGGUAUCUCCAGACUGUCAUAUAUGCUCAGUGUGAACCUGCUUUCAUCUGUGAAGAGCACAGUGCGCCAGUGGCGAAUUUGCCAAUCUUGGUGUUCUCUGGCAAAUGCCAAACGUCCUGCACGGUGUUGAGCUGUAAGCACAACCCCCACCUGUGGACGUCGGGCCCUCAUACCACCCUCAUGGAGUCUAUUUCUGACCGUUUGAGCAGACACAUGCACAUUUGUGGCCUGCUGGAGGUCAUUUUGCAGGGCUCUGGCAGUGCUUCCCCUGCUCCUCCUUGCACAAAGGCAGAGGUAGUGGUCCUACUGCUGGGUUGUUGCCCUCCUACGGCCUCAUCCACAUCUGCUGAUGUACUGGCCUGUCUCCUGGUAGCGCCUCCAUGCUCUGGACACUACGCUGACAGACACAGCAAACCUUCUUUGCCACAGCUCGCAUUAAUGUGCCAUCCUGUAUGAGCUGCACUACCUGAGCCACUUGUGUGGGUUGUAAACUCCGUCUCAUGCUACCACUAGAGUGAAAGUACCGCCAGCAUUCAAAAGUGACCAAAACAUCAGCCAGGAAGCAUAGGAACUGAGAAGUGGUCUGUGGUCACCACCUGCAGAACCACUCCUUUAUUGGGGGUGUCUUGCUAAUUGCCUAUAAUUUCCACCUGUUGUCUAUUCCAUUUGCACAACAGCAUGUGAAAUGUAUUGUCAAUCAGUGUUGCUUCCUAAGUGGACAGUUUGACUUCACAGAAGUGUGAUUGACUUGGAGUUACAUUGUGUUGUUUAAGUGUUCCCUUUAUUUUUUUGAGCAGUGUAUAUGCAACAAAUCUUCCACCAACAGGUUUAUGUGCCAAUGCACCACACAACCAAUAAACAAAACAUACCGACUUCGGGUCUUCAAUAUCACGGUUUUCAUUUUCAACACAACAACAAAUAUACUGUCUCGACAAACAGAAAACACAUCCCUUCCUACCUUAGGCUUACCAAGUAUCAAAGGCUUGGCUUGACAAUCUCUGAAUGUCAUUAAACUUGUUGGUCUCUUUCCAAUUAUCAAA